GAUGAACGCUGGCGGCGUGCCUAAUACAUGCAAGCCGAGCGAACAGACGAGAGUGCUUGCACUCUCUGACGUUAGCGGCGGACGGGUGAGUAACACGUGGGUAACCUACCUAUAAGACUGGGAUAACUUCGGGAAACCGGAGCUAAUACCGGAUAAUAUUUAGCUUCGCAUGAAGCAAUAGUGAAAGACGGUUCUGCUGUCACUUAUAGAUGGACCCGCGGUGUAUUAGCUAGUUGGUGAGGUAACGGCUCACCAAGGCAACGAUACAUAGCCGACCUGAGAGGGUGAUCGGCCACACUGGGACUGAGACACGGCCCAGACUCCUACGGGAGGCAGCAGUAGGGAAUCUUCCGCAAUGGACGAAAGUCUGACGGAGCAAUGCCGCGUGAGUGAAGAAGGUUUUCGGAUCGUAAAACUCUGUUGUAAGGGAAGAACAAGUACGUAGUAACUGAACGUACCUUGACGGUACCUUACCAGAAAGCCACGGCUAACUACGUG
rnacentral:rRNA from 1 species